CUGGGUCUCCGCGCUUGUCCCGCCGGCCCCGGCCUCGCCGCCCCGCGCAGUGCCCAGCCCGGCCCUGCCGACCCGCUUCUACCGCUGGCUCCGCGCCCUUCCCCGAGGGCUGGAUGAUGGGCUCUUUCGCCCUGCAAACGGUGGACACCGAGCUGACCGCGGACUCGGUGGAGUGGUGCCCGCUGCAAGGCUGCAGGCACCUGCUGGCGUGCGGGACCUACCAGCUGCGGCGGCCGGAGGACCGGCCUGCCGGCCCCCAGAACAAGAUAUACAACCACUUACUGUUGUGUUACACUUGCCUGCAGUAACAUGCUGUAAGGUUUGUGGCAUAGGAGCAGUGGGCCGUACCAUAUAGUCAAGGUGUCACAUCCCGGUGGGUGGACAUGCCCUCUUGGGCUUGGCAGAUGCCAGUGGAUCCAUACAACUGCUCCGCCUGGUGGAAUAUGAGAAGAGCCACGUGCUGGAGCCAUUGUCCAGCCUUGCCCUGGAGGAGCAGUGUCUGGCUUUGUCCCUAGAUUGGUCCACUGGGAAAACUGGAAGGGCCGGGGACCAGCCCUUGAAGAUCAUCAGCAGUGACUCCACAGGGCAGCUUCACCUCCUGAUGGUGAAUGAGACGGGGCCCAGGCUGCAGAAAGUGGCCUCAUGGCAGGCACAUCAAUUCGAGGCCUGGAUUGCUGCUUUCAAUUACUGGCAUACAGAAAUUGUGUAUUCAGGGGGCGACGAUGGCCUUCUGAGGGGCUGGGACACCAGGGUACCCGGCAAAUUUCUCUUCACUAGCAAAAGCUAUGAUGAGCACAUCCUACUGUGGGACACACGAAACAUGAAGCAGCCGUUGGCAGACACGCCCGUGCAGGGUGGGGUAUGGAGAAUCAAGUGGCACCCUUUCCACCACCACCUGCUCCUGGCCGCCUGCAUGCAC
rnacentral:sRNA from 1 species